rnacentral:rRNA from 1 species
GACGAACGCUGGCGGCGUGCUUAACACAUGCAAGUCGAACGGAAAGGCCUUUUCGGAGGUACUCGAGUGGCGAACGGGUGAGUAACACGUGGGUGAUCUGCCCUGCACUCUGGGAUAAGCCUGGGAAACUGGGUCUAAUACCGGAUAGGACCGCACUUUAGCGUGUGUGGUGGAAAGUUUUUGCGGUGUAGGAUGAGCCCGCGGCCUAUCAGCUUGUUGGUGGGGUAAUGGCCUACCAAGGCGGCGACGGGUAGCCGGACUGAGAGGUUGGUCGGCCACAUUGGGACUGAGAUACGGCCCAGACUCCUACGGGAGGCAGCAGUGGGGAAUAUUGCACAAUGGGCGCAAGCCUGAUGCAGCGACGCCGCGUGGGGGAUGACGGCCUUCGGGUUGUAAACUCCUUUCGCCAGGGACGAAGCGUUUUGUGACGGUACCUGGAGAAGAAGCACCGGCUAACUACGUG